rnacentral:rRNA from 1 species
AUUGAACGCUGGCGGCAGGCCUAACACAUGCAAGUCGAACGAGUGGCGGACGGGUGAGUAAUGUCUGGGAAACUGCCCGAUGGAGGGGGAUAACUACUGGAAACGGUAGCUAAUACCGCAUACCAUCGGAUGUGCCCAGAUGGGAUUAGCUAGUAGGUGGGGUAACGGCUCAACUAGGCGACGAUCCCUAGCUGUUCUGAGAGGAUGACAAGCAACAAUGGAACUGAGACACGGUCAAGACUCCUACGGGAGGCAGCAGUGGGGAAUAUUGCACAAUGGGCGCAAGCGGGAGGCAGCCAUGCCGCGUGUAUGAAGAAGGCCUUCGGGUUGUAAAGUACUUUCAGCGAGGAGGCGUGACUCGCAGAAGAAGCACCGGCUAACUCCGUGCCAGCAGCCGCGGUAAUAC